AGAGUUUGAUCCUGGCUCAGAGUGAACGCUGGCGGCGUGCUUAACACAUGCAAGUCGAACGAGAACGGAUUAUAGCUUGCUAUAAUUGUCAGCUAAGUGGCGCACGGGUGAGUAAUGUAUAGGUAAUAUGCCUCUUACUAAGGGAUAACAAAUGGAAACGUUUGCUAAUACCUUAUACUCCUUAUUAACAGAAGUUAAUAAGGGAAAGAUUUAUUGGUAAGAGAUUAGCCUGUAUUGUAUCAGUUAGUUGGUGGGGUAAUGGCUUACCAAGACUAUGACACAUAACUGGUUUGAGAGGAUGAUCAGUCACACUGGAACUGAGACACGGUCCAGACUCCUACGGGAGGCAGCAGUGGGGAAUAUUGCACAAUGGACGAAAGUCUGAUGCAGCAACGCCGCGUGGAGGAUGACACAUUUCGGUGCGUAAACUCCUUUUAUAUGAGAAGAUAAUGACGGUAUUAUAUGAAUAAGCACCGGCUAACUCCGUGCCAGCAGCCGCGGUAAUACGGGGGGUGCAAGCGUUACUCGGAAUCACUGGGCGUAAAGAGCAUGUAGGCGGAUUAAUAAGUUUGAAGUGAAAUCCUAUAGCUUAACUAUAGAACUGCUUUGAAAACUGUUAAUCUAGAAUGUGGGAGAGGUAGAUGGAAUUUCUGGUGUAGGGGUAAAAUCCGUAGAGAUCAGAAGGAAUACCGAUUGCGAAGGCGAUCUACUGGAACAUUAUUGACGCUGAGAUGCGAAAGCGUGGAGAGCAAACAGGAUUAGAUACCCUGGUAGUCG
rnacentral:rRNA from 1 species